rnacentral:rRNA from 1 species
GGAAACGGCGUCUAAUACUGGAUAUGAGAUCAGUCCGCAUGGGCAUGGUCUGGAAAGUUUUUCGGUCUGGGAUGGGCUCGCGGCCUAUCAGCUUGUUGGUGAGGUAAUGGCUCACCAAGGCGACGACGGGUAGCCGGCCUGAGAGGGCGACCGGCCACACUGGGACUGAGACACGGCCCAGACUCCUACGGGAGGCAGCAGUGGGGAAUAUUGCACAAUGGGCGAAAGCCUGAUGCAGCGACGCCGCGUGAGGGAUGACGGCCUUCGGGUUGUAAACCUCUUUCAGCAGGGAAGAAGCGAAAGUGACGGUACCUGCAGAAGAAGCACCGGCUAACUACGUGCCAGCAGCCGCGGUAAUACGUAGGGUGCGAGCGUUGUCCGGAAUUAUUGGGCGUAAAGGGCUUGUAGGCGGUUUGUCGCGUCUGCUGUGAAAAUCCGAGGCUCAACCUCGGACUUGCAGUGGGUACGGGCAGACUAGAGUGUGGUAGGGGAGACUGGAAUUCCUGGUGUAGCGGUGAAAUGCGCAGAUAUCAGGAGGAACACCGAUGGCGAAGGCAGGUCUCUGGGCCACUACUGACGCUGAGAAGCGAAAGCAUGGGGAGCGAACAGGAUUAGAUACCCUGGUAGUCCAUGCCGUAAACGUUGGGCGCUAGGUGUGGGACUCAUUCCACGAGUUCCGUGCCGCAGCUAACGCAUUAAGCGCCCCGCCUGGGGAG